rnacentral:rRNA from 1 species
AUUGAACGCUGGCGGCAGGCCUAACACAUGCAAGUCGAGCGGUAGAGAGGUGCUUGCAUCUCUUGAGAGCGGCGGACGGGUGAGUAAUGCCUAGGAAUCUGCCUGGUGUGGGGGAUAACGUUCGGAAACGGACGCUAAUACCGCAUACGUCCUACGGGAGAAAGCGGGGGAUCUUCGGACCUCGCGCCAUUAGAUGAGCCUAGGUCGGAUUAGCUAGUUGGUGAGGUAAUGGCUCACCAAGGCGACGAUCCGUAACUGGUCUGAGAGGAUGAUCAGUCACACUGGAACUGAGACACGGUCCAGACUCCUACGGGAGGCAGCAGUGGGGAAUAUUGGACAAUGGGCGGAAGCCUGAUCCAGCCAUGCCGCGUGUGUGAAGAAGGUCUUCGGAUUGUAAAGCACUUUAAGUUUGGGAGGAAGGGUAGUAACCUAAUACGUUGCUACUUUGACGUUACCGACAGAAUAAGACACCGGCUAACUUCGUGCCAGCAGCCG